rnacentral:misc_RNA from 1 species
AAAUGCGAUAAGUAAUGUGAAUUGCAGAAUUCAGUGAAUCAUCGAAUCUUUGAACGCACCUUGCGCUCCUUGGUAUUCCUUGGAGCAUGCCUGUUUGAGUAUCAUGAAAUCUUCAAAGUAAAUCUUUUUUUAACUCAAUUGGUUUCUACUUUGGUAUUGGAGGUCUUUGCAGCUUCACACCUGCUCCUCUUUGUUCAUUAGCUGGAUCUCAGUGUUAUGCUUGGUUCCACUCGGCGUGAUAAGUUAUCUAUCGCUGAGGACACUGUAAAAGGUGGCCAAGGUAAAUGCAGAUGAACCGCUUCUAAUAGUCCAUUGACUUGGACAAUACUUUUAUGAUCUGAUCUCAAAUCAGGUAGGACUACCCGCUGAACUUAAGC